rnacentral:rRNA from 1 species
UACGGAGGGUGCAAACGUUGCUCGGAAUUAUUGGGCGUAAAGCGCACGUAGGCGGACCAUCAAGUCGGAUGUGAAAUCCCUCGGCUUAACCGAGGACGUGCAUUCGAUACUGAUGGCCUUGAGUACGAAAGAGGAUCGCGGAAUUCCCGGUGUAGAGGUGAAAUUCGUAGAUAUUCGGAAGAACACCAGUGGCGAAGGCGACACACUGGCCCGUUACUGACGCUGAGGCUCGAAAGCGUGGGGAGCAAACAGG